ACCUUAGUAGCUUAAUGGAAGAGUAUCAGACAUGUAUUCUGAAGACUCAGGUUCGAUUCCUGGCUAGGGGU
rnacentral:tRNA from 1 species